GUUAAGGGGGAGUUUUAUUAUGAUAUAAAGCUUUAGUCCGGAACUUUCGUAUCACAUAACUUCAAGCUUAUAGAGUUCAAGUUCGGAGCACAUCCUUGAAAAGUUUAUAUACUCUUACCAAUACAUAUACCUUCCCAAAACUGCACAACCCAUGUUUCCCUAUUUUUUUCAAUUACUGUUACCAUGGCUUAUAGAAAUACUAUGACAUUUUAUCUCUUUAUUUGCUGGUAGGUACUGAGUGUGUAAAGUAAAAUAGAUACAUUAAAGGGUGUUGUUACUAAAUAUAUAUGUACAAUACUGUUACGAGUUAAUGUGUUGAAAUAUUUAGUAUGAAAUACUAUUUCUAUAAGAAAUAUCUAUCUUGGGCAAUUAAAAAACAUCACUAUAAUGAGAUAAACCUACGAAAACCUCCGUUUUUCUGCAGCAAGCUUGUGUGUUUUUAAUUUUCCUGCGACACGAGGAGUGGUUCACGAUAAUUUUAACGUCCAUUCCUUACUUCCAAAAUGACAAAACCUGCGAAGAGCUAAGAGAGCAUUGAUGGUAUUUAUUUUUACUGUAAGUCAGGUAGUCCUAAGCCUUUCCAAGUUUCCUGCUGAAUAAGUUUCCCCAUGUCAUCCCAUUAAUCUAUUACUGUAUAUUAAAAGUGACGUAGAUAACAUCGAGCUGUUUUAUCUAUAGUCUGUAUGUUAUUGCAUUAUAAAAUAGUACAUUUAUGUCCUCACUUUAACAUUUUCAAUUUCAUGCGUUAAAAUAUAAAUUAUAAAGAAUGGGUUUACCAUCUCAUAGACAGACUGAACUAGAUCGUUAGAAAAAUAUAAUUAUAUUUGACUCUAGACAAUCACACGCUAGAAUUUAUGUUCGAUUGCAAAUUGUACACACUCUUGUUGAACAGUAUGACCCUUGCGACGUUUUCUAUUCUCUUCAAAUAUUUCAAUUAAAAUUUAUUGCACAAGUAAAAUGGGUUACCAAUUUCUAUAUUAGUUACAAACAUUAUAAAAAUAUUACAAAUGCAGCUCGUUUACGAGGGGAAUGAGUACGUAAUCACAAACAAGCAUUUAUAGCAUUAUGCCUACGAAGAUUUGUUGAAUUAGUAUAAACAUAAGUGCUAUUCAUAAACGUGAGUCGGUGAUGCGGAUGAGAAUCGCAAAGGAACAAAAGAGAAUUCCGAUCUAUUGUGCUGUGUAGGGGGAACAUCUGGUUGCUGCGGGACAAGCGGUAGAUCAGCUGUUCGUCUCGUCUCUCAGCUGGCUGUUCAAGGUCAUACUCAUUGUUACCAACAUAACCUAACUUCCCUUCUCCCUCGCUCACCAGUCCAGCCAAUGCUCCAUUGUAAAUUCAUCUCGUGAUGUUAGCGCGGUUGUGGCGAUGGUUAUGCGACUUCUUGGAGGUUAUCCAGCAUUUUUUCAUGGCGUCCUGCUGUCCUGGAUUAGACGGUCUUGAUGAUGAUGAUGAGGAAGAAACUGAAAACCUUCUGCAGGACGAUAGAAUAAUGGAUCCUCCUGAAAAGAACAUCAAGAAAGCGGAUUAACGUUUUGUUUUUGUAACUUAUUGAGUGCACGUGUUUUAUUUAUAGAAAUUUUUGACACUUGUGUAGUGGUGAUUAUCAGCUGAAUUCUUCGGAUAAUCUUAAUUACCUAUAGUUAAGAUGAUGGAAUCUCCCACCUUCCCCCCACCAGAAGUCAAGAUCUGAAGAUUGACAUCCGGUCCGCAGCAAGAGUGCCGCUUCUUUUUCUCACUUUUCUAUCUACCUUUGUACUUGUUUGUUCCUCACUGUUUUUGGAUUGUUGACUGGUGGAUAUGUCUCAGACAAGACUCGUGUGACUUAUUUUAAGUUAUUAACUUAUUUUAAAUAAAGACAUGAUGAAACUGU
rnacentral:misc_RNA from 1 species